GCAACCUCAGCUCAGGCAAGAAUACCCGUUGAGUUUAAGCACAUAAUUAAGCAGAGGAAAAGAAACUUACAAGUAUUCCCCUGAUAGCGUCAAGCGAACAAGGAAGAGCCCAACAUGAAAAUUGGGCAACAAUGUUGCCUGAAUUGUAGUUUGUAGAAGUGUCCUCAAUGGCGAACCUAGGCCAUGUCCCUUCGAAGGGGCCACUUGAGAGGGUGAUAACCUUGUCAGGUUGGGACCCUUCCGCAUCACGAGGCAUUGCCGAAAAGUUGGUUUGUUUGGGAAUGCUACCCUAAUUUGGUGGAAAAUUCUAUCUAAGGCUAAAUACGUGCGAGAGACUGAUAGCAAAAAAGUACCGAGAAGGAAAGAUGAAAAGGACUUUGAAAAGAGAGUUAAAAAGUGCUUGAAAUUGCAAGGAGGGAAGUAGAUGGAAGAUGUCGAUGUGUCUUGAUUGGAUGUGGAAUGGCUCAAGCUGGUCCACCGCUCGACUUAAGGUGCAAACUAACAUGGGAUGUUGCAUCGUCACAAGUGUGGGUGGCUUACUGCCUGUUGGUUUUCCAUUGCGGUGGUCAAGGAACAAAGCAUCCACCCUUGUGGUGGGCUAUGUGGACCUGUGUGCUCAUUGUGUUGGUUUGCAAGUUUUCCAUUCGACCUAUUGUUAAACAUGGACCAAGGAGUCUAACAUGUGUGUCAGUUAGCGGGUGUGAAAACCUACAAGGUGCAAGGAAGCGGACAAGAAAGAUCCCGUCUCUAAGGGGGUGCAUUGUUGACCAACCUUGAGCUUAUGUGAAGGGUUCAAGUGCGAGCACACCUAUUAGGACCCAAAAGAUGGUGAAAUAUCCCUAAGUAGGGUGAAGUGAGAGGAAACAAUGGCGGAGGGUCGUAGAGAUACUGAAAUGAAAAUCGUUUGUCUGACUUGGGUAUAGGGGCAAAAGACUAAUCGAACCAUCUAGUAGCUAGUUUCCUCCGAAGCUUCCCUUAAGAUAGCUGGAGCUCACGCGCGAGUUUUAUCGAGUAAAGCAAAUGAUUAGAGGCAUUAAGGUCAUAAUGCCCUUGACCUAUUCUCAUACUUUAAAUAGGUAAGAGGUUAUGGCUACUCCAUUGAGUCGUCCCAUGGAGUCGAGAGCUCUAAGUGGGCCAUUUUUGGUAAGUAGAAUUGGUGAUGCAGGAUGAACCAAAAAUCACGUUACAACGAUGAAUUACAUGAUAACCUAGAUCCCACAAAGGGUGUUGGUUGAUUAAGACAACAUGACGAUGGUAAUGGAAGUCAAAAUCUGCUAAGGAGUGUGUAAAAACUCACCUACAGAAUCAACUAGCCCCAAAAAUGGUUGGCACUGAAGCGCGCAACCUAUACUCGACCAUCGAGACAUUUCCUAGCUUCAAUGAGUAGGAGGACAUGGUGGUCAUUGAGAGACCUCGAGCGUGAGCUUGGGUGGAUCGUCCCCCAAUUCCGAAUUUGGUGGUAGUAGCAAAUAUUCAAUUGAGAACUUUGAAGAUUGAAGUGGGGAAAGGUUCCAUGUGAAAAACACUUGUACAUGGGUUAGUUGAUCCUAAGAGAUGGGGAAGCCUUGUAUCAAGGGUGCACUCUGUAUGAGCAUUGAAAGGGAACCAGGUUAAUAUUCUCCAAUCAGAAAAUGGUGGCAGGCUACAAUGUUAUGAAAUCUAGAGACCCUAGAAUCAAUUCACCUAGAGAUAUUGUCCAACAAGUAGAAGAGCACUGCAUGUCUUGCAGUGUCUAGGGCGCCCUCAGCAGCCCUUGAAAAUUUGGAUGUCCGAGUAUCAUUCAUGCAUAGUCAUACUCAUUAUCGUAUUAGGUCUCCAAGGUGAACAACCUCUAGUCAAUAGAACAAUGUAGGUAAGGGAAGUUGGCAAAAAUAAUCCAUAACUUUGGGAAAAUUAUUGGAUCUGAGGGGUGGGCAUAGGGGUCUACACCCUUAACCCAUCCAUUGUCGGUAGUCUACCCGAGCUUCUCUCGCAACGAGGGCGGGUAGUCAUGUGCCGAUUGGGAUACGAGCAUAGAAUACUCCCUACUAGGUGAUUUUCCUUAGGUGACAAACAGUCGACUAAGAACUAGUAUAGGCAAGGGGAAUCCAAUUGUUUAAUUAAACCAAAGCAUUUUGAUGGUCUCUGUAGAUGCUGACACAAUGUGAUUUUUACCUAGUGCUCUGAAUGUCAAAGUGAAGAAAUUUAACCAAGCACAGGUAAAUGGUAGGAGUAUCUAUGACUCUCUUAAGGUAGAAAAAUGCCUCGUCAUCUAAUUAGUGACGUGCAUGAAUGGAUUAAUGAGACUCCCACUACCCCUAUCUACUAUCUAACGAAACCAUGGCCAAGGGAAAGGGCUUGGGAGAAUCGGCAGGGAAAGAUGACCAUGUUGAGCUUGACUCUAGUCCGACUUUGUGAAAUCACUUGAGAGCUGUAGAAUAAGUGGGAUUCAUUUUCAAUGUGAGUGAAAUACCACUACUUUUAAUGUUAUUUUAUUGAUUUCGUGGGGCAGAGAUGGGGCACUACCCCUAUUUUUGGCCUGAAGGCAUGUUUCAAUGGGUUGAUUCGGGCAGAAGACAUUUUCAGGUGGGGAGUUUGGUUGGGGUGACACAUCUGUUAAAAGAUAAUGCAGGUGUCCUAAUAUGAGCUCAAUCAAAACAUAAAUAUCAUGUGGAACAAAAGGGUAAAGCUCAUUUGAUUUUUAUUUUCAGUAGGAAUACAAACCAUGAAAGCAUCACCUAUCAAUCCUUUAGAUUUUAAAAAUUUGAAGCUAGAGGUGUCAAAAAAGUUACCACAAGGAUAACUAUCUUGUGGCAGCCACGUGUUCAUAGUGACAUUUCUUUUUUAUCCUUCGAUGUCGGCUCCUCCUAUCAUUAUGAAGAAGAAUUCACCAAGUGUUGGAUUGUUCACCCACCAAUAGGGAACAUGAGCUAGGUUUAGACCAUUUUGAGACAGGUUAGUUUUACCCUACUGAUGAACUACACCGCAAUAGUAACUCAACUUAGUAUGAGAGGAAUCAUUGAUUCACAUAAUUGGGUAUCGCACUUGGUUGAAAAGCCAAUAGUACAUAUUUACCGUUUGUCAGAUAAUGACUAAAUGCCUCUAAGUCAAAAUCCAUGCUAGAAGUGGUGCAUUUCACUUUUAGACUGUAUCUUGACCCAUAGUAGGGGUGUCGCUUUGUUGCACCCAAGGGCCCAUGUCAUUUGAAAACCGUGAGCAUGAAGCAUCUCUGUUGGGGAAGCUUUGAAGUUCAAUUCCAAAUGGUCGCUGAGAAGAAU
rnacentral:rRNA from 1 species